rnacentral:rRNA from 1 species
UAUGGCCUACGGGGCGCAGCAGUAGGGAAUCUUCCACAAUGGACGAAAGUCUGAUGGAGCAACGCCGCGUGAGUGAAGAAGGGUUUCGGAUCGUAAAACCCUGUUGUUAGAGAAGAAAGUGCGUGAGAGUAACUGUUCACGUUUCGACGGUAUCUAACCAGAAAGCCACGGCUAACUACGUGCCAGCAGCCGCGGUAAUACGUAGGUGGCAAGCGUUAUCCGGAUUUAUUGGGCGUAAAGGGAACGCAGGCGGUCUUUUAAGUCUGAUGUGAAAGCCUUCGGCUUAACCGGAGUAGUGCAUUGGA